rnacentral:misc_RNA from 1 species
AAUACUACAGUAGUAUGGCCCCUGUUAUAGGUAAUAAAUGAGCUUUACCAUCACUGAUAAACAAAAUGCUAAUAACCAUCUACAGACAGAAGCAGACAAAAUCACAGGCAGUCAGGUGUAGUGGGGUGGAGCACCAAACAUUGGUUGGAAGUAAAGAAUGAGAAACUUUAGAGAUACAUUCAUAAAUACGGACAAUCCAAAACAAUCUGUUGUAGUGACAAAAGAAAAGGCUCAAAUUUCAAAGGCUUAAAAGACUAAUUUUAAUUACCUGCGGACCAGGGUAACCACCAA